GCCCAGACUCCUACGGGAGGCAGCAGUGAGGAAUAUUGGUCAAUGGCCGAAGGGCUGAACCAGCCAAGCCGCGUGAAGGAAUAAGGCCCUACGGGUCGUAAACUUCUUUAGUCAGGGAACAAAGGGUGCCACGCGUGGCGCUGUGAGUGUACCUGAAGAAUAAGCAUCGGCUAACUCCGUGCCAGCAGCCGCGGUAAUACGGAGGAUGCGAGCGUUAUCCGGAUUUAUUGGGUUUAAAGGGUGCGCAGGCGGAAGAUCAAGUCAGCGAUAAAAUUGGGGGGCUCAACCUCUUCGAGCCGUUGAAACUGGUUUUCUUGAGUGAGCGAGAAGUAUGCGGAAUGCGUGGUGUAGCGGUGAAAUGCAUAGAUAUCACGCAGAACUCCGAUUGCGAAGGCAGCGUACCGGCGCCCAACUGACGCUCAUGCACGAAAGCGUGGGUAUCGAACAGGAUUAGAUACCCGAGUA
rnacentral:rRNA from 1 species